AAUAUUUUGGUGAGUGAAUAAUGCUACCAAGAGCGAUCUCAAGAUUGAGAGGGUUCAAGUAUAUUGAACACUUAGUUUAUCUUCUAUCUGUAGAAAAUAGGUAAAUAUAGAGAGGUAAUAUGAGAUGUCUUUGUCCCUCUCCAAGGUGCUUAUGUAGCUAACAGUCUAUUGUCUUGAUUUUUCAAAAUCUAAAAUCUAAGAACCAAAUGGUUACAAACUCAAGGACCUUCUUAGACAGUUUGUUAGUAAUCUUAUUUGUUUUUCACUUAAUGGCCGCCACGGCCGGGGUUCACUGAGGCAGUUACUGAUGUUAUUGAAAAUGGUGGAGAAACUCCCAAGAAGAAACUCUAUGAACUGAAAUUGUCUUUGCUUGAAGAGAUUGGUUGGUGUCUUUUGGUAUCAUAUGAAAAGCAAUGGAUGCAUGUACGUUUUCCUUCAGGCCUUCCUCUAUUUUAAAGUCUUUGCCCAAUUUUUAGUUGCAUUGCCCAAAUAAAUUAUUGGAUUUGUUAUCUUUUGUUUUACUCCUCAAAUAAAUGAAAUCUUUUUUUUUUUUU